AUGAAUAUGUUGCAUCCAAAUCUGCAUUUAUCUCUCUGCAAUAUGCUCAUUUGCUAUAUAGUUUUGAAGUUUACAUAUCAUGUAUAUUUAUUACCAUAUCCUGCUCGAACGUUUGGGCGUUCUUCGAAGGAAUAUCUUUUUUUUCUAUUGCAGCUUUCUCCUGGAAACCGUUGUUAUGAACCAAUCAACUCUUUGAGAAUUAAAGGUUUCGCUCGUCCUAGGACGGCCCGGAUGGCCCAAGGUGAGCAGCCUUUGAUACGCCAUGCAAGACGCCUAGGUGCUGCCUUCCAGAUAAAUCCGGCUGCCACCGACCGGCGUGAGCUCGCUUCAGCCUCCUCCUUCGAUCUUGCAGCUACUGCCUCAUCGCCAACCCACAACAAGGAUUUGGAAAUUGCAGCUUCAAUUCUUGCGAGCGCGGAGUUGGAGAAGGUGGGGCUGCAGAGCAGAGCCAGUUGCAGCAUCCAUGGCCUUGUUGUGCUUUCCAUCGACCAUGCGCCAACGCCAAGUCCAUGA
rnacentral:rRNA from 1 species